AACCACACCUCUAAAUGAUAACAGAUAAAUGCUGUAACUCGACACACCCUAUAUCAUUUCAGCUCCAAAUCAAAAUGCACCUUAUUGUACCCAUCCUCGUGAGCGUGCUUCUUCCCAAAGCAUAUUCACUCAAAUGCUUUGAGUGCACACCAGGAGAAUCAGGAACAUGCACCGACAAGCAGACUGACUGUCUUAAUCCAGCCCAAUGUGGAAGCUCGCGGAUCAUAUCCUAUGCGGGUGAUAGAAAAUUAUUGGAUAUCAACGCGAAGUCUUGCGCGGUGUCUGCUGAGUGUCUCAGUACAUCAGUGAACUUCGGAAUCGCGCGCACAACGAUCGCCAGCAAAUGCUGAAAUACGGACCUCUGCAACUCCCAAAGCGUCCCUGAGUCCACUAAAGGCAUUCCUAAUGGCAAGACAUGUUUCACCUGUAUCGGAACGGACUGCAUGAGCACUCUGAGCUGCUUGGGAGACGAGGACCACUGCAUCUCAACAACAGUGAACACGGGUGGCGAGAAGAUAUCAAUGAAGGGAUGUGCCUCCAAGAGCAUCUGUACGGGAGACGUGUCACGAGCACUGGGGUCCGCCAUGAGCAUGGAGAUGAAGUGCUGCGAGGGCAACCUGUGUAACAACGCCCAGAGCAUCGGACUGAGCCUCCUGAUCCUGGUGACAUCCAUGGUCUCUGUCACCCUGUUCUACUGAGAGACACCUUGCCUUCACCACCUCCAUCGUAACAGGAGCCUCCCUGUCAUUGUCCCCCCCCCCCCCCCCCAUCUCCCCACGCCACUGCCCCAGUCUCCACUAUCUACCUGUUGUGUGUAUUAAUAAUGAAUGUUAUAGAAUAGCCCCUUUCACUGGAUGCUUCCUUGGGGCGUCACAUUAUGUAGGGUUAACUCAACCCCGCUAGCGUAAUGCUGCAGCCACCUGUGGAAUGCACUAUAGCCAAUUCAUUUUAGGGACAGCUCUCGCAAAAAAAUACACACCCACAACAACCCACACCUACUUCCAUCCUACAACCCCUACACACACUCACACCCAUCCUCUUCUCUCCUCAAGGCCCUGUGAGUCAGUGAGGCGUGGAUGUUUGGCGAGGCAUUUGCCAAUCUAAGCAAGUGUGGUACAUUGCUUCAAAUCAUUGGCAUUGUUAGCUUUCACCUGUUUUUAACGUUCUGAAUAACAUAGAAGGCUAUUGAAUCAAAUUUUUUACCUAGCAGAAAUAUACUUGAAAUUUAAAAUGUCACUGGAUGUGUACAGUGUUAAUGUGUUUGCUUGAUAAACAAGAUUAAUUCUGUAAAUAAAAAAAAUAUGAAAAGUAUAUGAAUCA